GUAGUAACGCUAUAUGUAGCGUACUGCCUGUUUUUUGCCUACCUUGGGAGCAGGAGGUCACAGGUUCGAAUCCUGUAACUCCG
rnacentral:tRNA from 1 species